UUGUGUCAUUCUUCAAAGUGGUUGUGAAAUGUUUGCCUUUUUCUGCCUAUUCAUAUCACAGCCAGCUUUGAGGAGCGACGCGA
rnacentral:pre_miRNA from 1 species